CGUCAUUUAAGAUAAUAUAUUUUAGUCAUUUUAUCCAAGUUAAAGGACAGAUGGAUCAACAGAAAGUAGUGAAUUUUGAAAGAUAUUAAACAGCUGACUCAAGCCUGGUGGUACACCCGUCUGAUCCCAGUGACCCUAGAGGCUGAGGCAGGAGGAUCCCAGGUUUGAGGCCACCAUGGGAACCUUAGAGAAAAGUCACCAGGGCUGGGACGUGGCUCGGGGUAGAGCACUCGCCUACCCAAAUCCUUGUGCAGGGCCUGAGGUCAGCCCCAGGUGGGGGAAAGAGAUGAAAGGACUGAAGCCCACUAAGGUCAAGACGGACAGAGUGACCAGAGCUGAACCCAGGAGCACAGGGGCGGGCUCCAGGUGCACGGGGAACGUGAUGGAAAGGUGAAAAUGACCCCCAGGACACGGUGGAUGUGGGGCAGGCCCAGGUCACCCAGCCUCUGCUAAACGGGAAUUGUUGAUGAAGAGCACACAGCUUUGCUCAGCUCCUGCAUCCUGGCCCCAAUGUGGCCCCAAAAUUAGCAACCUCCUGUGUCCUGCUGUGCCCUGGAAGGGGAGGCAGCAGAGGACAUGGUGGAAAGUCCCUCCUGAAGACACUGGGCCUCCAGAGCCCAGGCCAGAGGAGGGAGCCCUGGGAAGCUGAGGGUAUGUACUGAUGGAGCCCAAUGUCACCACUGAGUGACAGAGCCCGUCAUGGGUGGCAUUCACAGAGCAAUGUAUUAUCUCUGCUUUGGGUGUUGAGGGGCACUGGGGGAAAUAGUUCUGAGCUAUGGUAGAGGCAUGGGUUUCCUGCUCUUAAAAAAAAAAUGUCUUGUCCCAGGGAGAGCAGGAAACCCACAUCAGAAUCUGGAGUAGACCUGGGCGCAGAUGUCCACUAUAGACACAGUGGUUGACCAGGUUCAGGGACUUGCAAAAGAUUCAAGAAACCAGGACACUUACAGACCACUGUGGACUGCCUCACACAGAACCCAGCACAUGGGUGCUCAGAAGUCUGCUUUGACAGAAGCACAAGGUCCUCAACAAUGGUCCACCACGCUGAGCCUCUCACUGAACCUGAGGUCACUCCAUCUCCAUGGCACUGUCUGCUGUGCUAACUGGUCAAUGGUGUUCCAUCAAAACCACGUCUAAAGGGGACAAGGCGGUGUCAUGAGAGCUAACAGUGGGUGAAGACAUAAGAGGUGUGGACUCACUCCUUAGGUUGAUCUGUACUGUUUUGUUCAGGACCAUGGUGGACAACAGGUCCCCUUCUCUUAGCUGCCCAGCACACCUGUUCCUUGUCUGAGAAGAAGCUACUCCUGGUGUUUUCAAUCUUCAUUUGUGUGGAGAUUUCUUCCUUCCUAUUUCCUCCAUCCUGUGAGUGUCCUCACCUAUGAGACGAGUCUCGGCAUACAGUUGGACUCUGUGUUUUGAUCCA